GACGAACGCUGGCGGCGUGCCUAAUACAUGCAAGUCGAGCGGACAGAUGGGAGCUUGCUCCCUGAUGUUAGCGGCGGACGGGUGAGUAACACGUGGGUAACCUGCCUGUAAGACUGGGAUAACUCCGGGAAACCGGGGCUAAUACCGGAUGCUUGAUUGAACCGCAUGGUUCAAUUAUAAAAGGUGGCUUUUAGCUACCACUUACAGAUGGACCCGCGGCGCAUUAGCUAGUUGGUGAGGUAACGGCUCACCAAGGCRACGAUGCGUAGCCGACCUGAGAGGGUGAUCGGCCACACUGGGACUGAGACACGGCCCAGACUCCUACGGGAGGCAGCAGUAGGGAAUCUUCCGCAAUGGACGAAAGUCUGACGGAGCAACGCCGCGUGAGUGAUGAAGGUUU
rnacentral:rRNA from 1 species